CUUCUAGCUCAAGGCAGGGAUAAAAUAAUAAGUCGACGAUUCUUCAAGGCUCGUAGUUGCGUUCAAGACUUUAUUCUCAAAUACGCUGAUUGUCAAAAUGCAUAGCAAGAGACGACUCGAGAAACAAAGUUUCCACGGACGUCCUUACCGCACUCAGGGAUUCACUCCGAAAAGACCAGAACGAGGAGCCGCGUUGAUGUCAAAGUGCAUAGCAAGAGACGACUCGAGAAACAAAGUUUCCACGGACGUCCUUACCGCACCUACGGACUCGCUCCGAGAAAAUCAGAAUGAAGAGCCAAAUUGCUAAUGUCAAAGUGCAUAGCAAGAGACGACUCGAGAAACAAAGUCUCCACGGACGUCCCUGCCGCACUUACGGACUCACUCCGAGAGAAUCAGAAUAAAGAGCCGAAAUUGUUCCGCGGGGCGCGUAUUUAUGAGUGCGCGAAAAGCGUUAGAGGGGCACGCCGUUCCCCACCGUGCGAUCGUAGGGGAAGCAGCAAGCUCCUCCUUUUCUCUAAGUGAAUCCGCUUCCACCUGCAACGUUUUGUCCGUGGCGUUGUACUAAAUUGAACUGAGAGAAUUUGUUUAUAUUACUUUAUCAUUCGCGUGACGUAUUUGUCACUGAGGCCGCAUCACCUAUGCUUCAAGAGGAUGCUCUAUGGAUCUGUUACUUGAGCUCGCAAGCCGUCGCUGAGAAGAUACGACUAUGAAGAUUCCUCGCUUGCUUAAAGUGCGAUAUACCUGUUGUAAUCGUUAGUUGCAAAUUGAACUUGUUAGUUAACUAAUUGAGCUAGAUAUGUGAAAUUGAACCCUUAAUUGUAAAAUAUCAUUUCCUUUUAUGUGCCCGUAUCAAAAAUGUUAAAUAUGUAUUAUUUAAAGAGUGUUCUUAUUUGACUUGUCUAUGUAGUAGGCACUCACGUACAUGCUGUGUGUAUGUGUGAGUGUAUGCAUGUGCAGUGAAAAGUGAUUUUAUACCGUUCUUAUUUUAUAAGUUAAUAACUUUUAAACUAAUACAUAAAAAGUUUUGAAAUUUUGCAAGUGUGUUCCUUAAUGUUUGUUUUAAAUCGUAUUUAAGUUUAGUGAUUAAGAGAUGUAUUGUUUAAUUGUAAUAAAAUAUUAACUUAGCAAAAUGA